rnacentral:rRNA from 1 species
GGAUCCAGACUUUGAUUCUGGCUCAGGAUGAACGCUAGCUACAGGCUUAACACAUGCAAGUCGAGGGGAAACGACAUCGAAAGCUUGCUUUUGGUGGGCGUCGACCGGCGCACGGGUGAGUAACGCGUAUCCAACCUGCCCAUCACUUGGGGAUAACCUUGCGAAAGUAAGACUAAUACCCAAUGACGUCUCUAGAAGACAUCUGAAGGAGAUUAAAGAUUUAUCGGUGAUGGAUGGGGAUGCGUCUGAUUAGCUUGUUGGCGGGGUAACGGCCCACCAAGGCGACGACCAGUAGGGGUUCUGAGAGGAAGGUCCCCCACAUUGGAACUGAGACACGGUCCAAACUCCUACGGGAGGCAGCAGUGAGGAAUAUUGGUCAAUGGACGAGAGUCUGAACCAGCCAAGUAGCGUGCAGGAUGACGGCCCUAUGGGUUGUAAACUGCUUUUAUAAGGGAAUAAAGUGAGCCUCGUGAGGCUUUUUGCAUGUACCUUAUGAAUAAGGACCGGCUAAUUCCGUGCCAGCAGCCGCGGUAAUACGGAAGGUCCGGGCGUUAUCCGGAUUUAUUGGGUUUAAAGGGAGCGUAGGCCGGAGAUUAAGCGUGUUGUGAAAUGUAGACGCUCAACGUCUGCACUGCAGCGCGAACUGGUUUCCUUGAGUACGCACAAAGUGGGCGGAAUUCGUGGUGUAGCGGUGAAAUGCUUAGAUAUCACGAAGAACUCCGAUUGCGAAGGCAGCUCACUGGAGCGCAACUGACGCUGAAGCUCGAAAGUGCGGGUAUCGAACAGGAUUAGAUACCCUGGUAGUCCGCACGGUAAACGAUGGAUGCCCGCUGUUGGUCUGAAUAGGUCAGCGGCCAAGCGAAAGCAUUAAGCAUCCCACCUGGGGAGUACGCCGGCAACGGUGCAACUCAAAUGAAUUGACGG